ensembl:lncRNA
AGAGCGAACGAACUCCCAAACAAAGAGCACAAACAAAAGCCUCCCCCACAAGAUUUGAAAGUAUCUUGUCCCCUUAUUGGUCCUUUGGGUCAGGUGUCAGCCAGGUUACCUGAGCUUCUUAACCCUUUACAGGGAAAAGGAUUUUGGAGUCUCUGGCCAGGAGGGAUUUUAUAGUACUGUACACAGGACAGCUGUUACCCUUCCCUCUAUAGUUAUGACAAGGGUGACACUGGGGGAAGAUCUGGGUGAGCAGCAGGGAAUUGAGUUGGGGGGCGGUGGAGGAAUGGAGCUCCAGGAGCACACACCCCCUUCCCACUGAUCUACAUAUUGCACUGUGCUAUUAUUAGAGAAGGCAGGUCAACGAAUGCCCCUGGCACAUGGAGCGGACAACAGGGGGCUGGGCUGGCCUUUCAUUUCUGGGGGCCCCGAGAAAAGUUCUGGCUCCCGGCCAGAUCAGUUUUACCCUUAUCGUCUGGCUCCGCGCCCUGCCCAGUUACUCAAUGGCGUCUGGCUAAACAUCACCCCAUCCACAUGUUCCAGGGCCUGCCCCGGCCUGUCACAGGUGCUGCGUCACUGGGAGAAAACCACAGGCUAAGCAGACAGAGCAACAGACGCCAUUUCUUCGUGGCUUCGUGCGGAGGUUUCCCGGCAGCGAAGGAGCUGUUAGGAGGCGCUGCCCCCACCACACCCACUCAUGCAGCACGAGGAAGCUCUCCCAGAGGGGAGCAGCACAGUGGCCAGGGUGUGCACCAAGGGCCUGAACGCGCUGGAGCUGCUGCAACUGAAGAACAGGGCCGAGAGGCUGUGGCACAUGACAGAGGGGCUGGCCGCCUGCUUCAGCCAGGCGAUGGAAAUGGUACAGAAGCGGCCUAUGGAGCCCUGGACCAACAUCCGGCUCGUCCUGCAGAGUGACGGGAAGUGGCUGGAGCUCUGCGCUGGCCAGAUCGAGCAGACGAUGCUGGUCUGGUAUGACCCCCACACCGGCACUGUGCGGGAACACUGCAUGGGAGCCUCGUGCUGGGGCUUCUAGGGUGACCAGACGUCCCGAUUUUAUCGGGACCGUCCCGAUAUUUCCUUGUUUGUCCCGCGUCCCGACCGACAUGCGGUCGGGACAACCGG